rnacentral:tRNA from 1 species
GGGACGUUAGCUCAGUUGGUUCAGAGCACUACCUUGACAGGGUAGGGGUCACUGGUUCGACUCCAGUACGCCCCA